UGGGGAAUAUUGCACAAUGGGCGCAAGCCUGAUGCAGCCAUGCCGCGUGUGUGAAGAAGGCCUUCGGGUUGUAAAGCACUUUCAGCGAGGAGGAAGGUGGUGAACUUAAUACGUUCAUCAAUUGACGUUACUCGCAGAAGAAGCACCGGCUAACUCCGUGCCAGCAGCCGCGGUAAUACGGAGGGUGCAAGCGUUAAUCGGAAUUACUGGGCGUAAAGCGCACGCAGGCGGUUUGUUAAGUCAGAUGUGAAAUCCCCGGGCUCAACCUGGGAACUGCAUUUGAAACUGGCAAGCUAGAGUCUCGUAGAGGGGGGUAGAAUUCCAGGUGUAGCGGUGAAAUGCGUAGAGAUCUGGAGGAAUACCGGUGGCGAAGGCGGCCCCCUGGACGAAGACUGACGCUCAGGUGCGAAAAGCGUGGGGAGCAAACAGAUUAGAUACCCUGGUAGUCACGCUGUAAACGAUGUCGAUUUUGGAGGUUGUGCCCUUGAGGCGUGGNUUCCGGAGCUAACG
rnacentral:rRNA from 1 species